rnacentral:lncRNA from 1 species
GGGGAAUCUGUUUAUGAGAAUAUAAAAUAAAACGUGCAAACACAGGAGAAGUAGAAGAUACAGGUGGCAGGGGUAGAGUGAGAACUGAAGUCAGGACUGGGGAGCUGGAGGAGGAAAUCAGGCCUGAAGAAACUUUGUGGCUGAAGCCAGCAAAUCUUGUAUAUAUAGGAUCUCCAUGAACUGUCCUAAAAUUUCCAAGAGAAGGAGACAUCCGUCAAGUAGAAGACAAAAAGGGAUGCUGACCAGGGAGGCCGGAUGCUGGAUGUGGUCUAGGAGGAAGCCUUGGAAUUUUCUCACUCUGGAUUGUGGAACCACAAAGUCAGCCUGGAGCUGCCUACAUCUGGACACCUAGGCUCCUGUCAGAGCCAGUUUAUUAUUUCCAGUCACUCAUUACUGGGAUUCUCCUCUCCCUGGGGCGUUAUGAAGCAGGUUCUGUCUGGAGUCCUUUGUGCUUGUUUUAGGCAUGAAGAACAUGACUCCAAG